rnacentral:rRNA from 1 species
GAAAGCCUAAGGUUUCCUGAGCAACGCUCGUCGACUCAGGGUAAGUCGGGACCUAAGCCGAGGCGGAAAAGCGUAGGCGAUGGACAACAGGUUGAAAUUCCUGUACUAUCCUGUAACAGAACUGUGGGGACGCAGAAAGAGAGCGUGAGCCGGGAAUGGAAAGACCGGUGCAAGCGAGGUAGGAGUCACAUAGGAAAAACCGUGUGGCAAUCCAAAGGCGUGAUGCGGAGCGAACUGAAGUAGCGAAGUAUGUGAGCCAUGCGUCGAGAAAAGCCGCUAUUGUUCAUGCUGUACCCGUACCGUAAACCGACACAGGUAGUCAAGGAGAGAAUCCUGAGGUGCUCGAGUGAUUCGUGGUUAAGGAACUAGGCAAAAUCGCCCUGUAACUUCGGGAGAAGGGGCUCCUACUUCGGUAGGACGCAGUGAAAAGACCCAGGCGACUGUUUAUCAAAAACAUAGGGCUAUGCUAAAUCGCAAGAUGAUGUAUAUGGCCUGACACCUGCCCGGUGCUGGAAGGUUAAGGGGAGAGGUUAGCGCAAGCGAAGCUUUGAACUUAAGCCCCAGUAAACGGCGGCCGUAACAAUAACGGUCCUAAGGUAG